GUGUCAGCAGCCGCGGUAAUACGUAGGCAGCAAGCGUUGUUCGGAGUUACUGGGCGUAAAGGGUGUGUAGGCGGUUCUUCAAGUUUGGUGUGAAAUCUCCCGGCUCAACUGGGAGGGUGCGCCGAAUACUGAGGGACUAGAGUGCGGGAGAGGAAAGUGGAAUUCCUGGUGUAGCGGUGAAAUGCGUAGAUAUCAGGAGGAACACCGGUGGUGUAGACGGCUUUCUGGACCGUAACUGACGCUGAGACACGAAAGCGUGGGUAGCAAACAGGAUUAGAUACCCUGGUAGUCCACGCCCUAAACGAUGCAUAUUUGGUGUGGGUCAUUCAGUUGAUCCGUGCCGGAGCUAACGCGUUAAAUAUGCCGCCUGGGGAGUACAGUCGCAAGGCUGAA
rnacentral:rRNA from 1 species